UGAGGUUUAAAUGGAGCACUGCAUAUGGAGCAGUGAGCACGACGCCUGGACCCAGGAAGAGCUCCUUCCACUGGAACCAGUGUUGUGCUCAUUACUAACGGAUUUGAUGAUUACAGGCCAAAACCACCAUCUCCAGCUUCACCAGCGUUUGUCAGGUUUGAGGCAAGCAUUUGGAAUGAACUGACACAUUUCUGGACUUAUCCAUCGCAUAAAUCGAGGAUGGGUGUAUGUGCUCAUGGUAAAAAUUCAAAUAUUACGGGGGCACGGGUGACUCUGAAAGUGAGAGUUCCCCUAUAGUUAUGCUUUCUGAAAAUAAGCAGUAUUUCCAGUCCUUGGUACAUUCUUCCAGAUUUUGUCCACGCUUAUGUACAUACAAGCAAGAGGCUGUUACUUUUUGUGCUGUAUAAAAUUGCCUUUCCCUUGACUCUGCCUUGGACAUCUUUUCACGUCAGUUCAUCAAGAGCUAUGAUGUGAGAGGACUCACAUGUGACUCCUCAGACACAUAUCUGUGGUCAGACUCAAUAGAGCAUCAUAAUUCCAAAGGAUCUGCUGAGCUCGAGUUUCUUCCCAACACCACAGACCAGGAAGGAUGACAUUCACCAACGCUUGGGAAAUGGCUGACUCUUCUCAGAGAACAUCCCCACUCAUCGCCCACAACCCAUGACCUGUCCCUCGCAGCAGAGCUGCUGGGGACCGCCAUCAUGCUGGCCAAGCCCACCCACUUGUCCCAAAAGGUGACUUCCCAGGCAGAUCUAGCUUAUCAAUGGGACACUAUCCUCACAGGAAAAGUCUGAGUUCUAGGAAAGGAAUACACUUACUGGAAAAUAUGCAGAGAAAAACAGCAUAAUCAGAAUGACUACAUGUUUAACGAAAUGCCUACAAAGUAAACCAUUAUGUCAACUUCAUUAAUUGGUCAAUUUACUAUUUAUCAUCGUUUCACGACAUUUGAAAAAUGAAUUGAAAGUAACGUUGGCCCAUUUGCAAGAAUUCUUGAGGAAUGCAUGAAGACUGCCAACAAAUAACAUGAAUUCCUCAUAUCCUUAUUAUUUUUAAAAGCAAAAUUAUUAAAGGGGUGCCUGGCUGGCUUAGU